rnacentral:rRNA from 1 species
GAUGAACGCUGGCGGCGUGCCUAACACAUGCAAGUCGAACGGAGUCGUUUUGGAAAUCUCUUCGGAGAUGGAAUUCUCGACUUAGUGGCGGACGGGUGAGUAACGCGUGAGCAAUCUGCCUUUAAGAGGGGGAUAACAGUCGGAAACGGCUGCUAAUACCGCAUAAAGCAUUAAAUUCGCAUGUUUUUGAUGCCAAAGGAGCAAUCCGCUUUUAGAUGAGCUCGCGUCUGAUUAGCUAGUUGGCGGGGUAACGGCCCACCAAGGCGACGAUCAGUAGCCGGACUGAGAGGUUGAACGGCCACAUUGGGACUGAGACACGGCCCAGACUCCUACGGGAGGCAGCAGUGGGGAAUAUUGCGCAAUGGGGGAAACCCUGACGCAGCAACGCCGCGUGAUUGAAGAAGGCCUUCGGGUUGUAAAGAUCUUUAAUCAGGGACGAAACAAAUGACGGUACCUGAAGAAUAGGCUCCGGCUAACUACGUG